AGUUUGAUUAUGGCUCAGGAUAAACGCUGGCGGCGUGCUUAACACAUGCAAGUCGAACGGAGUGGUUCUCCCGAGGAUUGACGGUGCUUGCACCUGAUUGGCUCAUUGAAUCACUUAGUGGCGGACGGGUGAGUAACGCGUGGGUAACCUGCCCUAUACUGGGGGAUAGCAGUUGGAAACGACUGAUAAUACCGCAUAAGCGCACAGUACCGCAUGGUACGGUGUGAAAAACUCCGGUGGUAUAGGAUGGACCCGCGUCUGAUUAGCUAGUUGGUGAGGUAACGGCCCACCAAGGCGACGAUCAGUAGCCGGCCUGAGAGGGUGUACGGCCACAUUGGGACUGAGACACGGCCCAAACUCCUACGGGAGGCAGCAGUGGGGAAUAUUGGACAAUGGGGGAAACCCUGAUCCAGCCGACGCCGCGUGAACGAUGAAGUAUCUCGGUAUGUAAAGUUCUAUCAGCAGGGAAGAUAAUGACGGUACCUGACUAAGAAGCACCGGCUAAAUACGUGCCAGCCGCGGC
rnacentral:rRNA from 1 species